GAUGAAGAACGUAGCGAAAUGCGAUACUUGGUGUGAAUUGCAGAAUCCCGUGAACCAUCGAGUCUUUGAACGCAAGUUGCGCCCGAAGCCAUCAGGUUGAGGGCACGUCUGCCUGGGCGUCACAUAUCGUUGCCCAAUGCCUAUUGCAGUGCAAUAGGAAUUUCUAGGGCGAAUGAUGGCUUCCCGUGAGCGUUGUUGCCUCGCGGUUGGUUGAAAAUCGAGUCCUUGGUAGGGUGUGCCAUGGUAGAUGGUGGUCGAGUUAGAACGAUACCGAUCAUGUGCAUGCUCCCCAAAAUAUGGCCUCUAUGACCCACACGCGUCUUUUGACGCUCAUGACGAGACCUCAGGUCAGGCGGGGCUACCCGCUGAAUUUAAGCACAUCAAUAAGCGGAGGA
rnacentral:misc_RNA from 1 species